ACAGAUCAAAAUCCGACCAUGACCAACCUCAUCAAAUAUCAACUGUACUGAGCGAUACAAUAGGCACACCAAUUGAUAUAUACUUAAUACAUCAGGAAUUUCAUCUAAAACAAGCUGACCUAGGUUGCAAGCAAUGAGAUUGCUGUUCAUGCUCCCAACUAAUACUAUAAAUCUACACCACAAAUCUAUUCAUGCACAUCACGGCUAAAAGCUUUGACAAAUUACAUAUAACAUGUUUGAGUCGAUCAACCACAACCAACUCUGGACUAGUUUCACAUAAGCUUCACUAAAGAUUACGAGGUUCAACAAUGGUUCAGAAGAACGACAAAUUACAUAUAACCUGUUCGAGUCGAUCAACCACAACCAACUGUGGACUAGUUUCACGUAAGCUUCACUAAAGAUUACGAGGUUCAACAAUGGUUCAGACGAACAAGUUUCAGGUUUCACAUCUGCAUGUGAGACAUAUGGGUAAAAGUGUAAGCUGAGUUUGGC
rnacentral:lncRNA from 1 species